UCCCUAGCUGGUCUGAGAGGAUGAUCAGCCACACUGGAACUGAGACACGGUCCAGACUCUACGGGAGGCAGCAGUGGGGAAUAUUGCACAAUGGGCGCAAGCCUGAUGCAGCCAUGCCGCGUGUGUGAAGAACGCCUUCGGGUUGUAAAGCACUUUCAGUGGGGAAGAAAAGUGUGUAGUUAAUAGCUGCAUAUUUUGACGUUAGCGACAGAAGAAGCACCGGCUAACUCCGUGCCAGCAGCCGCGGUAAUACGGAGGGUGCGAGCGUUAAUCGGAAUUACUGGGCGUAAAGCGCAUGCAGGCGGUUAGUUAAGCGAGAUGUGAAAGCCCGGGGCUCAACCUCGGAACAGCAUUUCGAACUGGCUAACUAGAGUCUUGUAGAGGGGGGUAGAAUUUCAGGUGUAGCGGUGAAAUGCGUAGAGAUCUGAAGGAAUACCAGUGGCGAAGGCGGCCCCCUGGACAAAGACUGACGCUCAGAUGCGAAAGCGUGGGGAGCAAACAGGAUUAGAUACCCUGGUAGUCCACGCCGUAAACGAUGUCUACUUGAAGGUUGUGCCUUGAGCCGUGGCUUUCGGAGCUAACGCGUUAAGUAGACCGCCUGGGGAGUACGGUCGCAAGAUUAAAACUCAAAUGAAUUGACGGGGGCCCGCACAAGCGGUGGGGCUGGUUUAAUUCGAUGCAACGCGAAGAACCUUACCAUCCCUUGACAUCCAGAGAAUUCGCUAGAGAUAGCUUAGUGCCUUCGGGAACUCUGUGACAGGUGCUGCAUGGCUGUCGUCAGCUCGUGUUGUGAAAUCUUGGGUUAAGUCCCGCAACGAGCGCAACCCCUAUCCUUAUUUGCCAGCGAGUUAUGUCGGGAACUCUAAGGAGACUGCCGGUGAUAAACCGGAGGAAGGUGGGGACGACGUCAAGUCAUCAUGGCCCUUACGGGAUGGGCUACACACGUGCUACAAUGGCAGGUACAGAGGGCAGCGAAGCCGCGAGGUUGCGAAUCCCACAAAGCUUGUCGUAGUCCGGAUCGGAGUCUGCAACUCGACUCCGUGAAGUCGGAAUCGCUAGUAAUCGUAGAUCAGAAUGCUACGGUGAAUACGUUCCCGAGCCUUGUACAAACCGCCCGUCACACCAUGGGAGUGGGAUGCAAAAGAAGUGACCGUUUAACCCUUCGGGAGGGCGUUUACCACGGUGUGUUCUGUCCUGGGGUG
rnacentral:rRNA from 1 species